GGACAGCUUAAUCGUGUUGAGUUUGUCCAUUCGAAAUCAUUCCUUCAUCGAGAUAUUAAGCCCGACAAUUUUCUCAUGGGCUUAGGAGGACGUGCAAAUCAGGUUUAGUUAAGAAAUACUUUGACUUUGAUUUGGCUAAGAAAUACAGAGAUUCUUCCACCCAUUACAGGUCGAGCAAGACUCUGAUGAAGUUUAUGAGCAAGUUACUUUAAUGUCGGAGCAAGAUGUAAGACCUAAACAUCUAGCUCCUAGAUCUGUUUAAUGUUGACAACGUUUAACUGAAGUGUACAUUGUUUUAUAUUGUUUAAACAGCCUCAAAAUGAUUUGUGGAUUUAUGAUUGUGAUUUGUGGAUGAUUGUGAUUUUUGGAUUA